rnacentral:tRNA from 1 species
CUUUCAAAAUCUUUUUAUAAACAAAAAAUUUAGGGGAUAAGAUUGGAGCUGCUAACUCUGAUCGGGGGG